rnacentral:misc_RNA from 1 species
UCCGGUUUGUCACCGGCAGUCUCCCUAGAGUCCCCACCAUUACGUGCUGGCAACUAAGGACAAGGGUUGCGCUCGUUACGGGACUUAACCCAACAUCUCACGACACGAGCUGACGACAGCCAUGCACCACCUGUGCACUGGCCCCGAAGGGCUGCCGUAUUUCUACGACAUUCCAGUGCAUGUCAAGCCCUGGUAAGGUUCUUCGCGUCGCGUCGAAUUAAACCACAUGCUCCACCGCUUGUGCGGGCCCCCGUCAAUUCCUUUGAGUUUCAGCCUUGCGGCCGUACUCCCCAGGCGGGACACUUACUGCGUUAGCUACGGCACGGACAACGUGGAUGUCGCCCACACCUAGCGCCCAACGUUUACAGCGUGGACUAC